UAAUAUUUGAAUCUAAAGGGUGUCUUUUUAGUCUGCGGAUCUGAUUCGUCGUGUCAAGUAAUUGAGUAACUAAUGGGUUUUGCUUGUUAAUUCUUAUAUUAUAUCUAUUACUGAAUUUGGAUAUUUCUUCUUUAACUGUAGGUAUCUCAAGGUCGCGAUGUAUUGUUUCCUUGGUAACAUACCAAGGUGCAUCUAUUAAGAAUCUUAGAGUUUUUGAUUGG
rnacentral:misc_RNA from 1 species